ACUUUUAAACGGUGCUCUGUCUCCCUCUGUAACCAUUUCUUUUUCCGCCAUUCUGUUUUCUCUAUCCAUUUCUCUCUUUUCUCUCUCCGUCCUAGAUCUAGGGUUUCCUCUGUCUCCUCAUGCUCCUUGAGAGAUUCACCAGGGUUGAUUCCGAUUACUUGUUCAGAUCUAAUUCUAAAUCCAUCGAUUCUUGAAUCAAUUUGGUUAAAAUUUCUUGACGGUUUUUUGUUUUUCUUGAUUCUGAUUCUGAUGAUUUUGCAGAGGAAGAUGGACCGGUUGAGUUGCACAAAUCGGCGGGGUUACGAGAUCGAUGAGUGAAGAAGGAUCAAGAUAAUCGGGAUUGGGAUCGGGACUGAGACCAAUCGAAUCGGGACUGAGGAAACUAGCCAAUUGAGUGAAUACUGGGUUUCUGGUAAUCAGAUUGAGUGAAUAUUGGGUUUCUGGUAAUCGAGUUGCUACAUUAGUGAAGGGAUUUUAUCUAGGGUUUCGAGCCUGUUAAAGCUCCUUCUCAGAUGAUCACAGAUGCAGACAUUCUUAUUGUUACAACUGCGGAUCUCCUCUAAUAACCCACUACUGUAGUAAAUGCAGAUGUAUCAUCAUCACCAUCAUCAAGGAAAGAACAUCCACCCCUCCUCAAGAGGGUCCAUUCCUCCAGAAAGGCAUUUGUUCCUGCAAUGGGGGAAUGGUGCAGGAGAUUCUGGACUUGUACCUUCGACCAAUACAAAGCCUAGACUGAAAUGGACAAAAGACCUCCAUGAGCAGUUCAUAGAAGCAGUAAAUCAGCUUGGAGGAGCAGACAGUGAGUGCAUACAACAUAAUAAGUUUAAGAAGAAACCAAAGGAAAAAUGUCUAA